rnacentral:rRNA from 1 species
UACGAAGGGGGCUAGCGUUGUUCGGAAUUACUGGGCGUAAAGCGCGCGCAGGUGGUCUUUCAAGUCAGUGGUGAAAGCCCGGAGCUCAACUCCGGAAAUGCCAUUGAAACUGUAAGACUUGAGGAUGAGAGAGGUGAGUGGAAUUCCCAGUGUAGAGGUGAAAUUCGUAGAUAUUGGGAAGAACACCGGUGGCGAAGACGGCUCACUGGCUCAUAUCUGACGCUCAGGCGCGACAGCGUGGGGAUCAAACAGG